GAACGAUGAAGCCCAGCUUGCUGGGUGGAUUAGUGGCGAACGGGUGAGUAACACGUGAGCAACCUGCCCCUGACUCUGGGAUAAGCGCUGGAAACGGCGUCUAAUACUGGAUACGAACAAGAAUCGCAUGGUUACUUGUUGGAAAGAUUUUUUGGUUGGGGAUGGGCUCGCGGCCUAUCAGCUUGUUGGUGAGGUAAUGGCUCACCAAGGCGUCGACGGGUAGCCGGCCUGAGAGGGUGACCGGCCACACUGGGACUGAGACACGGCCCAGACUCCUACGGGAGGCAGCAGUGGGGAAUAUUGCACAAUGGGCGGAAGCCUGAUGCAGCAACGCCGCGUGAGGGAUGACGGCCUUCGGGUUGUAAACCUCUUUUAGCAGGGAAGAAGCGAGAGUGACGGUACCUGCAGAAAAAGCGCCGGCUAACUACGUGCCAGCAGCCGCGGUAAUACGUAGGGCGCAAGCGUUAUCCGGAAUUAUUGGGCGUAAAGAGCUCGUAGGCGGUUUGUCGCGUCUGCUGUGAAAUCCCGAGGCUCAACCUCGGGCCUGCAGUGGGUACGGGCAGACUAGAGUGCGGUAGGGGAGAUUGGAAUUCCUGGUGUAGCGGUGGAAUGCGCAGAUAUCAGGAGGAACACCGAUGGCGAAGGCAGAUCUCUGGGCCGUAACUGACGCUGAGGAGCGAAAGGGUGGGGAGCAAACAGGCUUAGAUACCCUGGUAGUCCACCCCGUAAACGUUGGGAACUAGUUGUGGGGUCCAUUCCACGGAUUCCGUGACGCAGCUAACGCAUUAAGUUCCCCGCCUGGGGAGUACGGCCGCAAGGCUAAAACUCAAAGGAAUUGACGGGGACCCGCACAAGCGGCGGAGCAUGCGGAUUAAUUCGAUGCAACGCGAAGAACCUUACCAAGGCUUGACAUAUACGAGAACGGGCCAGAAAUGGUCAACUCUUUGGACACUCGUAAACAGGUGGUGCAUGGUUGUCGUCAGCUCGUGUCGUGAGAUGUUGGGUUAAGUCCCGCAACGAGCGCAACCCUCGUUCUAUGUUGCCAGCACGUAAUGGUGGGAACUCAUGGGAUACUGCCGGGGUCAACUCGGAGGAAGGUGGGGAUGACGUCAAAUCAUCAUGCCCCUUAUGUCUUGGGCUUCACGCAUGCUACAAUGGCCGGUACAAUGGGCAGCGAUACCGUGAGGUGGAGCGAAUCCCAAAAAGCCGGUCCCAGUUCGGAUUGAGGUCUGCAACUCGACCUCAUGAAGUCGGAGUCGCUAGUAAUCGCAGAUCAGCAACGCUGCGGUGAAUACGUUCCCGGGUCUUGUACACACCGCCCGUCAAGUCAUGAAAGUCGGUAACACCUGAAGCCGGUGGCCUAACCCU
rnacentral:rRNA from 1 species